UUUAAAGAGAGAGCAAAGGAUUGGAAAAUAAUAUGCAACAAAUCUUCCAAAUUCAGUACAUUUGCAUGUCAACAAUGAGUACUAUCUGAUUAUAGUGUGAUGUGAAUUCCAAAGUCCAUUGUUGUUUGAGUUUAUUAUUUUGGUUAGAAAGGCAGUUUUUCAGUCUCAACUCAAUGUGUGAACAGAAUGAAUACUUUCAAAGGUUUGAGAGUCCCAUAUAAAUCUAUUGCUGCUAGUGCAGAAAGCAGGUUCAUAAUCACACAUUAGUAAAGCAGAAGUUGGUAAUAGGAAAUAAUGUGCUUUGUAUUAUCAGAUGGAAACAGACGCUGCAUUGUUUAAAAAAGUGUGUUCCUCUUUUAGAAACAUUUAUAAUGCCUAGAAGGGGAAAAAAACCCCCAUCAAAUUCUAAUUCUAUAAUUUCUCUGCUAUAAUUUCCAGUCAGUGUGUGCAUGACUGGGUGAAGAAGAGGUGAAGAAGGCAGAGUUUUAGCUCACAUUCAGGAUGUGACACAGUUCAUGACUGUGUCACAUCUCGGUUCAUGCGCUAUCUUCAAGUUCAUUUUAUAAAUAACGUGUUAAAUGAGAUUAAAACUGUUCGAAAAGUAAAGCUAUCAUUAGCUGUAAAAGUAUAACCGUUAUUCUUUGCUUUCAGAUAUGAAUAUGAUUGUUGGUCCUGUUUCCUUAAAUUGUUAGUCACACCUGGUUUGAAAUUAAAGAAAAAAUACUUUGCUUCUAAUGAAUUGGC